GGGGCAUAUGAGUGAGGGCUUCGGGCUCGACCUCCAACCCUUUGUGAACACAACUUGUUGCUUCGGGGGCGACCCUGCCGUUUCGACGGCGAGCGCCCCCGGAGGCCUUCAAACACUGCAUCUUUGCGUCGGAGUUUAAGUAAAUUAAACAAAACUUUCAACAACGGAUCUCUUGGUUCUGGCAUCGAUGAAGAACGCAGCGAAAUGCGAUAAGUAAUGUGAAUUGCAGAAUUCAGUGAAUCAUCGAAUCUUUGAACGCACAUUGCGCCCCUUGGUAUUCCGAGGGGCAUGCCUGUUCGAGCGUCAUUUCACCACUCAAGCCUCGCUUGGUAUUGGGCGCCGCGGUGUUCCGCGCGCCUCAAAGUCUCCGGCUGAGCUGUCCGUCUCUAAGCGUUGUGAUUUCAUUAAUCGCUUCGGAGCGCGGGCGGUCGCGGCCGUUAAAUCUUUCACAAGGUUGACCUCGGAUCAGGUAGGGAUACCCGCUGAACUUAAGCAUAUCAAUAAGGGCGGAGGAA
rnacentral:rRNA from 1 species